GUCAAGUGGGGCGUUUUGGGUCAACGAUUGCGGGUCCUCGUCAGUGGGCGGAACCCUCCUUUUUGCGGCCAGAGGAGGCCAGCGACUCCCUCGGCGCCUGCUCUGUUUCCCCCUGUCCCUAACGAAUCGACGGCCAACGUCGCCGCCCGGUGCAUCAAAUUACUUGAUUGCAUUGAUCAACCCAGGCUAGGGUAGUAGGGGAGAUGCGAGGGGAACUGAAGCACUGAAGAGUAUAUCAUCGUGGAUAAGCAAACUUUACCACAGUAUCUAGAAUCGGCCAUUGAAGAUGAAGACUAACCGCUCCGCUAAGAUCAGGAUCGCCUUUGUUUUCUACAUGAAGAUAGCAAAGUAGCUGUUUUUGCUGCGAAUGCUGGGUUCUACCGGGCUUUCAAAAACGGCGAUCCUGUGGCUAUGUGGUUGAUGAGGGCAAAAGGAGAUCAUGUCUAUGUGAUACAUCAUGGAGCAGGGAGGAUAUCCAGCCAUGACAUGGUGAUGGGAAGCUAGGAAAUUUUUCGCAAUGCCGACUGUGAGUUUUCUCUCUAAACUGAUCUGAAGAAUGUUGAGGUCAAUGAGGUGCAUGUACACAGAGAUGUUGGAUACGUUACUUCUGUGGAGGUUGUGAAGACGAAAGGAAGCAACUGGGGAAAACAUAGUAGCAACCAGCGUCUUUGAGAGGGUCAUGGGCAGUGGUUUAUUUGCGUUCAUCAUGCUCCCACAUUGAUGACUGAAAUGUAUUCUUUUUUUCUUCGUCUGCCCUUUUAAUUGUUUUGGGACAUUUAUUGAAUUUACCUUUGGCUUGUUACAUCU